UACGUAGGGUGCAAGCGUUAAUCGGAAUUACUGGGCGUAAAGCGUGCGCAGGCGGUUUUGUAAGUCUGUCGUGAAAUCCCCGGGCUCAACCUGGGAAUUGCGAUGGAGACUGCAAGGCUAGAAUCUGGCAGAGGGGGGGGUAGAAUUCCACGUGUAGCAGUGAAAAUGCGUAGAGAUGUGGAGGAACACCGAUGGCGAAGGCAGCCCCCUGGGUCAAGAUUGACGCUCAUGCACGAAAGCGUGGGGAGCAAACG
rnacentral:rRNA from 1 species